AUGGCACUUCAAAAAAAUAAGACGUGGCAUCUUGUGUCUCCACGACGAGGUAAAAAUUUGAUUGAUUGUAAAUGGGUUUAUAGGAUCAAAAGAAAGUCCGAUGGAACCAUAGACCGCUACAAAGCCAGACUUGUUGCAAAAGGCUUCAAACAACGGUAUGGCAUAGACUAUGAGGACACCUUUAGUCCAGUGGUCAAAGCUGCUACUAUUCGCCUUGUACUGUCUAUUGCUGUUUCCAGGGGAUGGAGUCUCAGACAACUAGAUGUGCAUAACGCGUUUCUUCAUGGUGUUCCGGAAGAGGAAGUAUACAUGAAACAACCUCCUGGUUUUGAGAAUAAGGAUAAACCCUUUCAUGUGUGUAAGCUUGACAAAGCUCUAUAUGGACCGAAGCAAGCUCCCAGGGCAUGGCAUUCUCGUCUCAGUCAGAAACUACAAGCACUUGGUUUUGUUUCUUCGAAAUCUGUUACGUCUCUAUUCAUCUACAAUAAGUGCAAAACAUCUAUUUUUGUUCUUAUCUAUGUUGAUGAUAUUAUUGUCACAAGUUCAUCUAAUGAAGCAGUGACAGGAUUGUUGAAGGAUCUAAGUGCUGAGUUUGCUCUUAAAGAUCUGGGAGACUUACAUUUUUUCUUAGGGAUUGAGGUAAAGAAAACUGAGGAUGGCCUUCAUCUCUCUCAAGAAAAUUAUGCUGCUGAUCUGGUAAGGAGAGUUGGCUUGCAAGGAUGUAAAGCCUCCCCAACUCCUUUGUCUAGCACAGAAAAAUUGUCACUUGAAGAGGGAGAUCCCUUGGGUCAAGAAGAUAGUACUAGAUAUAGAAGUCUAGUAGGAGCACUUCAGUACCUCACCUUAACAAGGCCAGAUAUAUCCUUUGCAGUCAACAAAGUAUGCCAAUUUCUUCAUGCACCCACUACUGUUCAUUGGACUGCUGCCAAGUGCAUAGUGAGAUAUGUGAAAAAUACUAUGAGUCUUGGUCUUACAUUCACCAAAUCUUCAUCAAAUCUUGUCAGUGCUUUUUCUGACUCUGAUUGGGCAGGAUGCAUAGAUGACAGACGCUCCACUGGUGGAUUUGCAGUUUUCUUUGGGCCAAAUCUCAUAUCAUGGUGUGCAAAGAAACAUGCUACUUUAUCACGAUCUAGCACUGAAGCUGAGUAUAAAACUUUAGCAAAUGCUACUGCUGAGAUUAUCUGGGUUCAGUCCAUGUUGAGAGAGCUGGGUGUGAAGCACACCAAAACUCCAUGUUUAUGGUGUGACAGUCUGGGUGCUACUUAUCUGUCUGCUAACCCGUUUUUUCAUGCGCAGGACAAAACACAUCGAGAUAGAUUUUCACUUUGUCAGAGAAAGAGUUGCAAAGAGACAAUUGGAUAUUCGCUUUGUGCAUUCACGAGAUCAAGUUGCAGAUGGCUUCACAAAAGCAUUGCCUACGAAAAGUUUUGA
rnacentral:rRNA from 1 species